UAAUAAGAGAGUGUGCUAAUUGUGUUUGCUAGUUGUGUUUCUUUUGGCUAUGAGCUCCCACCUUCAAACCUCUCUCCCUAUGAGUUCUAGAAAUUUCACUUGUGGACAUGUAAAGAACAAGUUUGGGGGAGUUGAUAUCUUGCAUAUUUCUAAUGUUUUAUCCAUUCACCCAUGUGCAUUUUGAUCAUAUAGAUUAAGAUUUAGCCAUGUUUAGGUUGCAUUUUGCAUACAUGAGUCCUUAUCAGGUAUUGGAGUACCACAUGGAGUUCUUGGAGACAUUUGGGUGCAAUUGGAGUCCAAAAGAAGUGUUCAAAGUGAUCAUUGGGCGAGCACCUUACCGGAGCGACCAGUCCAGAGCGACACCGUCAAGUCGCUCUGAUCUCCCUAACAGAGCGACCUUACCAGAGCGACAAGGAAGAGUCGCUCGCAUUUUGGUCACCCGGAGAUGCGAGAACGAUUCCGGAGCGACCUCUCGCAGCGACACAGCGAGGUCGCUCCCGAAGCAUGGAGCGACUACUCGGAGCGACGAGCGGAGGUCGCUCGCGUUUUCAUCACUCGGGAACGCGAGAACGAGUCCGGAGCAACCUCUCGCAGCGACACAGCGAGGUCGCUCCCGAAGUAUGGAGCGACUACUCGGAGAACGAGCGGAGGUCGCUCCGCGUCUUAUUUCUGUCGAACUUAUGAUUUCUCAAGGGCCUUUUGGUCAUUUCAUGAUGCACGUUUUUAUUUUCUAAACCUAUGUUUUAAUACUCUGUAAGCCACCAGGAGGCAGAUCAUCUUUGUUCUUAAGAAAAACCACCAAAAACUCUUGAAAAGUCAUCUCUUGAAUCAAUUGAUCAGUUUUGUUAUUGAAAUUCUGUGUUCUUAUAUUUAUUUUCUUUGUGUUUCUCUACAUGAUUAAUCUGAAAUCCAGCAUGGGUUUAAGAGGAAUCAUGGAGAUUAGUGAGUAAUCCCCCUUUGAAUUCAUGGGUUAGGGAGAUUAAGGGUGAUUAGGUUAGAGCUAGGAUGUUUUAGUGUAGAUCAUUCAUAUUUCCUUGCUAGCAGAGUGAAUCUAAUGCAUCUUCUGAGUAGGCCACUCAGUUGUUGAUUCUUAGGCAUUUCUCACCCGAAAGGUGUUCGAGGAAAUGCCCGAGACAACUCUUCCUAGCUUUUAGCAUACUUUGCCAAAGACAUUUGUUGCGAGAGGUGCUAAGAUAGCCAUUGGACUUGCUAGUUAUGAUUACUUUCAUAUCGUUCAACCAAAGACAUUUAAUGCUUGGAUUGUGUUAGUAAAUGAACAUUCAUCUAGACAUAGAGUUUGUUUAGGAUUGUGUCUAAGCUUAAGGUUGAUAGUUUGAUUGAUCGUUUGCCAUCCUUAGUUCGAAACUUGAUCACCCGAUGUCUAAUCCCUAUAUCCAUGAGUUCUCUUUUCCCAUAGUUAAGAGAGUAUCAUUUAGUUAUCCCUUUUAGUUAGUUAUAGUUUAAAAACCCUUUUAAAAACCAUUGGUUGCACUUAGAUUAAGUGAUUACUUGCAUUCUCGGUGCUUUCACAUCUCUCAGAACUGGUUCGACAAUCAUUUAUACUACAACAUUUGUCAUGUGUUGACCUGAGGAGUUGAGGUAGAGGGAUUAGAUUGCUGUUAGCUAAGAAAUGAUUUGAGGUUGUGAAAAAUCCCUUGUAGAUUUCAAAGAGAAAGAGUUGAUGUUCUUAGGAUCUUUUGGUGAGAGGUGUGAGUUGGUUUUGACAUUGGGAAAUGAUUGUGUGAUUUGUAUGUAUGGGAAAAGGGUAGAACAAUGGAGAUUGAGCAUUGUAUGCAUGAGUUGGUCCCUUUCUUAGAUAUAUUAUGUGCAAUGUCAAGGCUACUUGUUUCGAGAGUAAACCACCUUAAAGAUCAUAUGUUUUGAACCUCUUGAAUCAUUUGAAUAAAAGCCUUCCCUUACUCAACCAAAUGAUUUGGACCAAUUGACCAUUUGCAAGAAUUCACUUGAUGCUAUGCGUAAUGAACUUGAGAGUUGGCUGAUUUGCAUGUGUGAAUGCAUGAUGAUGAGUGUAGGGAUGAAAAGAGUUCAGAUAGGCCUAGAGAAGCUAGAGUAUAAUAAGAGAGGGUGUACUAAUGCUGAAUUUAAAUGUUGAUUUGAGUGCUUUGUGUGUUUUUUUGGCUAUGAGCUCCCACCUUCAAACCUCUCUCCCUAUGAGUUCUAGAAAGUUCACUUGAGGACAAGUAAAAGAAUAAGUUUGGGGGAGUUGAUAUCUUGCAUAUUCACAUUGUUUUAUCCAUUUAUUCAUGUGCAUUUUCAUCAUAUAGAUUAGGAUUAAGCCAUAUCUAGGUUGCAUUUUGCAUACAUAUGUCUCUAU
rnacentral:lncRNA from 1 species